GACGAACGCUGGCGGCGUGCUUAACACAUGCAAGUCGAACGGAAAGGCCCUGCUUUUGUUGGUUGCUCGAGUGGCGAUCGGGUGAGUUACACGUGAGUAACCUGCCCUUGUCUUUGGGAUAACUUCAGGAAACUCGGGCUAAUACCGGAUAGGAGCUCCUGCUGCAUGGUGGGGGUUGGAAAGUUUCGUCGGUUGGGGAUGGACUCGCGGCUUAUCAGCUUGUUGGUGGGGUAGUGGCUUACCAAGGCUUUGACGGGUAGCCGGCCUGAGUGGGUGACCGGCCACAUUGGGACUGCGGUACGGCGCAGAGUUCUACGGGCGGCAGCAGAGGGGAAAAUUGCAAAAUGGGCGGAAGCCUGAGGCAGCAAAGCCGCGUGCGGGAUAACGGGAGUCGGGUUGAAAAAGGGUUUAGUGGGUGACGAAGUGGGAGUGAGGGUAAUGGGUAAAGAAGGACCGGCUAACUACGUG
rnacentral:rRNA from 1 species